rnacentral:rRNA from 1 species
CACGCAGGCGGUUUGUUAAGCUAGAUGUGAAAGCCCCGGGCUCAACCUGGGAUGGUCAUUUAGAACUGGCAGACUAGAGUUUUGGAGAGGGGAGUGGAAUUCCAGGUGUAGCGGUGAAAUGCGUAGAUAUCUGGAGGAACAUCAGUGGCGAAGGCGACCCUCUGGCCAAAGACUGACGCUCAUGUGCGAAAGUGUGGGUAGCGAACA